GGGGGUAUAGCUCAGUGGUAGAGCAUUUGGGGAAAUUGAUUUAUCAGCUCAGUGGUAGAGCAUUUUUGACUGCAGAUCUCAGGUUCAAAUCCUGGUGCCCCCU